UCACCAAUCUACUAGGCUUUGAAUUUCAUGGUUAAUGUUUUGUUUUUAAGUGCAUACAAGCAUGAUUCUGCCUUUUAAUUGUUAAUUGCAUGCUAUAGAUGUUGCUUAAAUGAACAUGUUUUUCACAAAAUUUCCUUCACUAGAGGCUUUUUCUCCACACAUGAUAUGCAUGCAAACAACUCAAUUUCCAGUUACUACUUCAUUGAAUUAUGAAUGACAAUGCCCCAAAUUAACCGUGACAUCACUACUUAACUCUCAAAUUUUCCUUGUUUUAUUGGAUUGGAUGACAUCAUUUGACAACCCAAAACAUUCUUCAAAAGUUCCCUACAUGACAUCAUAAUAGAGAUACUAUCAAAGAUCAUUACGUUUAAUGAAAAUCAUAAGCAUUGACAAAGCACUUGCAACUAUGACAUCAUGUCACUCAUGCUAGGAAUUGAACUUAACGCGAUCGUUUAUAAGCAACCUUCACUACAUGUGAAUAUAAGUUUGUAACGAUUAUGUGAAACUUCCUUAUAUUCUAGCAACGGAUUUAUGCAUGCCAAUUAAGUGUUGACCCUUAAUUAACAAAUCAAAUAAGUUAUCAAUCAAAUAGUUAAGCCAAUUGCAUUCACGAUUCAAGAGUUCAUAACUGGAAUUUAUCAAAUUAUAUUGCACACAUAAUCGUGGCUUUGAAAUCACCCCUAGCCAAGAGGGGUUUACCCACUCAUAUUUACGACAAAACGAAAGGAAAUGAAUUUAAACAUUAGAAACAAAAGAAAGAAAACACCUAAACGCUCCAACGAUCCAAGUUGGACAACAAGCACGUCCAAGCACUUUCCUUCCCUUCCUUCGCUACGGCACAAGAUGUUGGUGAGUGUUUGAAGGUUGGUUUGUAUGGAGGAAUGGAUGUGAAGAUGAAUGGAUGUGUUUGGAUGAAGGUUGUGUUGAAAUGGGAGUGAAUGAUCUAACCAAGUAUGAACUCAAUUUAUCUUACACACACUUCCUUUUAUAGAGGAAGUGCAUGGCAAUGGAGGGGAACAUUGAGUGGUGUAGCAAUUGAGUGCAAUGAUGCAUGAAAUCUGAAAUGAUGGAGGGAAGAAGGAAUGGUGUAGCAAUUGAGUGCAAUGAUUCAAUGUAAUGAUGCAUGAAUCUGAAAUGAUGGAGGGAACAAGGAAUGGUGUAGCAAUUAAGUGCAAUGAUUUGAUGCAUGAAAUCUGAAAUGAUGGAGGGAACAAGGAAUGGUGUAGCAAUUGAGUGCAAUGAUUCAAUGUAAUGAUGCAUGAAAUCUGAAAUGAUGGAAAGGUGAAUGGUGGAGUGACACCCCUUUGUGGCUAAGCUCUUUGUCCUUUUUACAUUAAUUCUUCUUUCUCUUUAACACAUUCCUAGCCUCUUCAGUCUUCAAUUUCGUCCAUCCACCUUGCUCCAUGCAUGUACUAUUCAUUCCAAGCCCAAAACUGCUCCAAAAUGCACCAAAAUGCAUCUUAUUACUUUAUAAGGCCUAUGGACCUACAAACACACGAAAAUAGCUUAAAAUACAUAAUUAACUAAGAAAUAACAACAUAAAUGCAUGAGAACAAGCUCACUCAGUCACAUAAAUAUGCUCCUAUCAAAUUCCCCCACACUUAGCUUUUGCUAGUCCUCGAGCAAAACAAAACAAACAAAACACAACCUAGAUCUUCCAACAUUUGCCUCAGGGAUUUUUAAUGAAACAUGACAUGUUAAAAAUCAUCAUUCCCACAGAUUUUGGUCAUCUUUACACUUGAGCACAUACUUAAUCACAUUCACCACUUACUAGUUCACAAUUAACCAAUUAAAACGAUGUUUUGAAUGUAGUAACAUGCCUUAGAGAAUUUGCUCAAUUUCUUACAAGAUACUCUCUAUUUUCACACACAUUUUCUGACUACACACUGAUGUGAAAAAUAAGUUAACACACAAAAUUAAACCCUCUUUUUAUCAAAUGUAGUAAAGUAUGUAAGUAGGGAUCGUUCUAGGCCGGGGAUUAGGAGGGAUUGCUAAACACUUGAAAACUGACUUAAAAACAUAAAAACAAAAUUUAAAACACUAAACUAGACUCAAAGAAUGCAAAACUAUACUUUAAAAUACUUAAACAAACAUAAAACUCAAAACAGCAACCUAGUGACUCAAAACUGCCUAAAAACCACUUUCUGGGCAGUUUUGAGAACUUAACAAGAACUUGGACGAAGUUGGAUGAAAACUUGAAUCAAAACACUUAGAAACACAAAUCAAAACACUUUCUAACUAAUCUAAGACUUCAAAAUAAAGGGGGAUUUGUUUUGGACGAAAAUUGAAAACAAAACAGAAACUUUAAAACAAAACAGAUUGUAAAACGUUUUUUGGAUGAAAAGGAUGGAUAAAAGGCUAGUUAGGAGGUUCUUCUCCACACAUGACACACUUGCAAACAAAAUGAUUUUCAGUUGUUCUUUCAAUAAAUUAUGAAACUCAACACCCCAAGUUAAUUAGAUAUGCUUAAAUUAACCUUCAAGUUCUCCUUAAGUUAAUGAAUUGGAUGGAAAAGCGCAUACAACAAUUCAAAGCAUUCCUCAAAGGUUCCUUACGUGAAUGAGCACAAUAAAGAUACAAUCAAGAAUCAUGAAGCACAAUGAGAACUAUAAGUGUUGACGAGGCAUUCGU
rnacentral:lncRNA from 1 species